GGAUGACGAGAGGAACGAAGGAGAGGGGGAAGAAGGGAGGAUCUCGUUGAAGAACUGGAGGAGGGAGGUCGACGAGAACCUGAAUCGACUCCGCUCACUCCUCUUCGCCGCCGAUCUCGCUCUCCAGCGGGACCACAACGCCGCCUCCCGAACCCUUGCCCUCCGCCUCAUCGGCUUCCUCGACUCCCGUACGAGAACCCACACCGACGCGGAUCUCGUCGCCUCCAUUCGGACUGAGGCCGCCUCCCGCGCCCUCGCCUUCGACUCGGAUCGGUACUGCUUCUGGGUUGGCGUACAUUUUUGCUACCUGGAUGGAUGAAAACUCAACCUAAAAGAAACAUGGAACCACGUGUUGUUUGCCAAAAAUUUGUAAGCUACUUCGGCACUGUGAAAAUUUGCUGUUCUUCUAGAUUGCAGUUUUCUUCAGCAAGUAUCCAGCAUAGAUGGCAAACACUAAUAAGCAACUUAGGAAAGAGCAAUCGCAUACUAAGUUUUGGCAUGUAAUUAUCACAGCAGAUGAUCAGAUUGCGAAACAUAACUAAAAACGAAGCCUCACACAGCUUUCUUACUUUAACUGGUAAUAUCUCUCUAAUCCACCCAUAGGCAAUCAGUAUAUAGAGUGAUGAACUCGAAUGACCGUUGAUAAUAUUGGUUUUCUGAACAUGAAACAAUGUAAACAGCUUGUAUUUUCAUUGAAAGAAAUAUGAGGAAAUUUUGAACAAAUCUGAUGCUUGAAUGCAAAAAAUGGAAUAUUGGUAAGUGAACAUAGACUUGGAACUAAAGGCUCUAAUAUUAUUUUAUAAUACAAAGAGCACCAGAGCAUGAAGGAUUGUGCUUAGGUCUCUGUUUCAUCUUAAGCUUUUUAUGCCAUGAUGUCCAUAUAGCUAAAUCUUAUUCCUUUACACAAUUGGCAUUAAUAAACAGUGGCACCGAAGUGCAUUAUAUUGGAAUGUUACAUAUGAAGCUUGCUUAAUAUUUUAGUUUAAUCAUAUAAGACAUUAACAAUGUUAUGAUUAUUUUACUUUGUUGUGCCAAGAUAAUAGGUAUAUUUUCCCUUCAGUUUCUCAAGAUGUAGCAUCUUUUGGAUUCAGCUAGGCAUUCGAACAAGCAAGAAGAGAAGUUCGUUGUAUUUUUGUUGAGAAAGGGGAUGUUGUAGUUUAUUUGACUGGCUGAUAGUUUAAAAUGUUACUGGGUCUGGAUUAUCAACACCCAACUAUUGUAUCUGGUUUUCUACUCCCAUGUGAUAUCAGUGCAGAUUUUGAUUUUAAUCCUGACUCCAUGCAUGCAAGGUAUUCUGCAUGUUCUAUUUCCAGGAUGUAGUUUAGUCAAAGUUCUUAAAAUUUUCUGAUUUCAAACUUACUGGAUUUGAGGUUGUGUUUCCAGUUUAGAAAUGUUGUGAGGUCCUGACAGUGAGCUGCCUGAGAAGUUAAGGAAUCUGGAACCUCGACUAAUUGAACUUGUUGGUAAUGAGAUAAUGGAUAAAAACUCUAAUGUUCAGUGGGACGACAUGGGUAAUCAGAAACAAUAACUGUGUUUUUGUCGUAAUUAUUAGCAUUUUUGGUGCCCAAAAAUUGCCUCUAAAAAAUAUCUUCUCACUAUUCUACUAAUUCAGUGGCUUGCAUGAUACUAAGAAAUGUGUCACUGAGAUGGUAUAUGGCCUCUUUUACAUCCUGACAUAUUAUGGUUGUCGUUCUCCAGAAAUAGGUCUACUGCUAUUUGGUCCCCCUGUAAGUACUUGUUAUUUAAAUAAAUAUGCCACUGCAACUUCAAAUUCUAACUGUGAUUAUAUGAUUGUAGGGGACAGGUAAAACAGUGAUUGGAAAAGCCAUUGCUGGAGAGGCGAAGGCAACAUUUUUUUACAUACCAGCAAGUUCUUUGACAAGCAAGUGGGUAUGUACAAGAGUGUUUCGUGUUCUUUUAUUUUAUGCAAUACUAUCUAAGAGAUUACAUCUUUUUCAAAUAUUGUGGAUAAGGAGAUCUAUAAUAUUGUGAAAUAAAGUCCACAUAUGAGAGCGCUGUUUCACAUCCUGAUUAAGUCUUGAUAGAAUAAUGCAGCACGCAUCAAGGGGGCAAGAGGGUUUUGGGGUUUAGGAUUGUGUGCUUUUUGAUGUGUGCCAAUACUCUAUCAGGACUUGAGCCAUGACUUAAGCUGAGAAAUGCUCAUUUCUGUGGCUGCAAAUGUGAACAUCAUAUGCUUUUGUUCUUUGGCACUAUGUUGGUGAAUUUGUACAGUAAUGUAGAUUACUUCCCUUUCACCGUGCACGCAAGAAAAAGCUCAAGUACCUGAUAAAUGUGUUUAUUGUGGAUAGUCUUUCAGAAUGAGUACUCUGGGUAAACAGUACAAUUUUCCACCAUAUUAUGUUCUUAGAUAGGAACUACAUUUACAGCUAUAUUAAUAUGCAGGAACAGCAAAAAAUUGCUAGAACCAUUAUUUACUAAUUACCUAAACAGUUUCUUUCAGUAAAUUUCUCACUGACAGACUGAAACUAAUUAUUUCUCACUGACAUGCUGAUGCAAUAUUUCUCACUGCAUUCUUUGGCUUCUUUGUCAAAAUUUACCUCAAAUAGGUUCUUAAUUAUUAAAUUUGUCAUCGUGCAUUGGUAUAUGUACGUACAUAUCAUCUCGAGCAAUUUUCUUAUACAUUGAAUGCUGUAGAUCGGCUAGGGUGAAAAACUGAAUGGUUAUAUAUACCUCUUCCAUCAUCAAUUGGCUUUUCUAUUGCUAUGAUUUUCUUGAUUAUGUUCUUGAAACAUUCUAAAACAUUCCAAGCCUCUGCAAAAUUGGUUUGAAGAAAGCAAGAGCCUGGAUCGGUCUGUAAUCUUUUGGAGAAAGAUGGGCUGUUGAAGCUUUCAGAAGAAGACAUAAUUGCAAUCUGCAAGUUAACUGAAGUUUAUUGCGGAUCAGACAUGUAAAAGAUGCAUCUAUGGGGACAGGGAAUUGAGAUUACAAAACUUAGAAAAGAGUAUCUGCUGCCAGUUAAUUUUCAGGAUUUUGAGAAUGCAUCACUGGUGGUAAGACCUUCUGUUUCCUUGAACGAAAUGAGGACUUGUGAGGAGUGGAACAGACAAUUUGGGAGCUUAUCCGUUUAGCCGUCUGAUUAACAAAAUGCACAUGCAGCAUUAAAUUGUGGUACGUGAAACAACUUCUUUGCUCGUCAUUUCGUCGACAUUUUGAAUGGUUUUCUGAAGAGAGUGAGCAGGCCAACUAUUCGUUACCUGAUACUAAGAAACCAUGCUUAAGAGAGCAACAGUAUACCAGAAUUUGUUUGCCAAGGUAUGUAUGAUCCAUAAUUUUGAUCUGAUGCUUAUGUAAGAUAUUGUGUAGUUUACUGAAGUAGCAAUUAGAAACACAAUAUAUUUGGUCACAAA